GUUAUUAUUUUCUAUGACACCUUGAACUCUUGUCCUUUCUCUUUCAGGAUCCUCCAUCAUUUUGUCUCACCAGGCUUAAUGCUGGGCAUUUCUUCAGACUAAUUGUUUGUUUAUAGAAUUCUCCAUCCAGAGUACAUUGAUAGACAUCAUUCCUUUCAAAGAGGACCUAGAUACCUGGGUGUUUCCCAAGGAAGUAUGAAAGCUGAUAUAAACAUGGCAUUUCUGGCAUUCAUCUUCAUGAAUCCAUGAACAAGAAGGAGAAGCAGCAAUGGAUGAUACUUAUGUACAACCCCAAAUAAGAUAGUGUUAAAAAUAAAUUCAAGAGUUAUCUGCCUCGGUCACCUAAGGGUAGGUUCAGAGAAAUGAUGUAAAGGGAUAAGAGUAGAGGAUGGCUAAAAGCAAAGGUGAAAACUGCACCCAAGGCGAUGGAGCAACUUUCCACUGGAUGUCUCAGCUUGGCUCAAGAUGAGUGCGGGAGAUGGAGGUCGAGUCUCUGGAGACUUUAUCUGAGGGGCAAGCAGGGUCUUCAUGAGUCAUUCUGCUGUACCCUACUCUGUGUGGUAUGAGUUGGAGCCAGAAGAAAUGGAACAUCUAAAGCUGACCAUGAACAAACACUAUGAUGUCUCCCAGCAAACUCUUGACCUCCAGAGGCUCUGCUUUGACCCAGGUACAGUUGACAGCAGUAAUGCUAGGAAUGCUAGGGCAGGGAUCUUCCUGGGAGGGAGACUUAAAGGAUGACAAUGUGGGGAGGGGUUGGUACUGGCCCUGGACCCCUCUCAGCCUUCCUAUUGCCUCUUCUCAGAUUGUUGAAGACUUGGUGGGCCAUGAUAUUGAUAUAAUCCUGAAUUCAAGAAAAUGCAUGGCUGCCACCCUGAAGAUCAUUGAAAAGAGUUCCCCCUGAUGUGAGGCCUUAUGCCCAGUGCUGUUUUUAUGGUAGAGGAUGGUACGAAUGGUGUGGAGGGAAGACUUGUUUCUGAGGCCCUAGAUAGUAACUGUCACUCUAACUCCUUCUCACAAAAAGCUGUUGUCCUUGAACUCGAUCAACAACAAACUGUACAGGCUGGAUGGCCUGUCUGACAUUAUACAGAUGGUCCCCACAGUCAAGAUCCUGAAGCUCUCCAAGAAUGAGGUGGGAAGAGGGAGCCAGAUCAAAGUUGGGGUUGACGGUGGGUGGUAGUGUUUAUCAGUGAUGACAGGAGGCAGGAGAAGGUACCUGUGUGGAAAAGUGGGGGCUGGGGGUGCAGGGGCCCACAUGUCUCUCUUUCUCUGGGACUCGUUUCCAGCUUCCUCCCCAUAUUUCUCAGCAGACGUCAGCCUGAGAGCUGGACAAAGUGAGGGAGCUGUGGCUAGAGGGGAAUCUGUGACACCUUUCCUGGGGACCUCUGCCCCUGGGAGCAUGAGCUACCUGACAGUGCCCAUAUGCAGGAGGCAGCAGCUAUGAGGAGGACCAUGUGCCCUGACUUCUCUACUCUCUCUCUCACCUGUGCUUAGAGGUCUCCUUUCCUUCCUGUGACCUGCUUACCUGUUUUCCUGGUCUGGGGUCUGUUUCUUACCCUUCUGCACUUAGCUUUCCCUAACAUACUGCUAUGUUCUGACUGUGUCCCCCACCUCACCGCAUUCAUUUGUUGAAAUCCUGACACCCAAAGAUGAUAGUAUCAAGAGGUGGUUUUUUGGGAGGUGCUAAGGGCAUGAGGGUGCAACCUUCCUGAAUGGAAUGAGUACCAUUAUGUAAAAGGCUCCAGAGAGAUCCCUAACACCUUGUACCAUGUGAGGACACAGCAAAACGAUGCCAGGAAUGAACCAGGAAGAGGGCCCUCACAAGAAAGCGACCAUGCUGGUGACUUGAUCUAGACUUUCCAGCCUACAAAGUGGAUAGCAGAAAAUUACUGUCAUUUAUCAGAUACCAACUUGGUAGUAUUUUGUUAUAGCAGCCUGAACAGACUAAGACACAUGCCUUCCCAUGAGUGUGUUCCAGGAAGCGGGGCUCCAUCUCCUCUCCAGAACCAGAGUGACCACUUUGGGCCAGGUGAUGGUGCCUGGGACUGAGAAGGGCCCUCAACCCCAGGGCUUCAUGCUGAGACAGGCCUUCCUACUCCCUGCUGAGAUGGUGCUUCCCUCCCUUGUUCUGAGAGGGACCCUCUUUUCCUUGAACCAAAUGUGUCCCCUCCUCCAAUUCCAGGAUGCCAUAGUGGCUUUUCCUGCCCAUGCUGAGGGCUGAGGUCUUGGGGGGCUGCCAUCAUGACAUCCGUUCCUAUGACCCAAUGCCAGGAGCUGGGCCCUCCUUGAGACAAACCAGGGUUCCCUGAGUCAGGGGGCCAGAAGUGGGAGACUGCCAUGGAGCAGAGGACUUCCUGAGGCAGGAAUGGAAGUCAGAGAGCAGAGGUGUUUGAGGAGACAGAUGGAGAGGCUUCUCAGAGGCACUGUUCCCUCCCCACCCCCACACAUGUCACAUCAUCCAAACCGGCCCUUCAGAGGAUCCAUGGGUAGCCCGACAACGAAUAUAAUCCCUCAGGCAAGGAACCGACUGAGGCAGACACAGGUGCACUGGGACCAUCAGGAGGGAAGGCGGUGAUCAUAAGAGGGGACCACAGACCCUCAGCUUCAUGCUGACCUGGGACUUGACCCUCUACUCCUUCUGGGGAUGGUCGCCUGCCCCUGUGGCUGCCUCGUUCCCCAUGCCCAGCUCAGACUGAGUUCACACAGGUGACAAACCUUCAACCAGCACCCAUCCAGUGGGCCCCCAGCCCAACACCUGCAUGUUUUUCAUUCCUACCUUGGGUGCCAGGGUGUUAGGGAAACAGGCUGUGGGGUUUGAUGGUUCUCACCCUAAAUCCUUACCUUUCAAACUUGGACCUAUUACCUAACCUCUCAUUUUCCUCAUUUGCAGAAGGGGCCCAAUAAUAUCCAUCUCUUGGGCAGCUGUGAAAAUUGAAUCAAAUGAACUUGUGGAGUGGCUGUCACAGAGUCUGCACAUAGUAACAUUCCUGUCACUGAGAGCAGAUCGCUCCUAUUGUUGCUCUCCCAAUUCCUGACACCUCGAUUCCCAGGAACUUUUGUCCCCUUCAGCAUGAGUAUCAUGUAAGAUCCUGACUGGGGAAUGCUGUGUGAGUGUGUCAAGCAUGUGCAACUCUAAGGGGGUAUUGUUUGUUGUUGAAGUGGAAAGAAAUUCUCAGGGUUCUGUUCAUAACCUAUUUUCCCUCUCCCCCCACCAAGUGUCAUUGACAUAUAAGUGACAUUCAACCACAUUCACUUAUUGUACCUUGUAUCUGUACCUUCACCCAGACUUUCACUGCUACCCCUGUCAGCAAUUCCAAGUGAGUGCUGUGUUUUGGGUGGCACUCCCAGCCCAGCCUUGGUUCAGGGGUGUGGGAAUGUGGUUGUGUAGCCCUUGGGAUUUUAUCAAUAUUGCUGAAAGCUAUCAGGUAGAUCCAAGGAGUCUAGCCUAGUGGUAAGGGCAUGGGCUCUGGAAUCGGAAUAUGGGUUCUCUUCCAGACCCCAACACCCACUAGCUGUGUGACCUUGGUCAAGUCAUAGGACCCCUCUGUGACCCAGUGUCUUCCUCUGAAAAUGAAGAUUAUACAGUCCACUCCUUGGGCUGUUUUACAGACGAAAUGAGAGUAUAAAACCAUCUCUGAGGUGCGGUUAAGCCUCCUAAUCUAGCGAAACUGGUAGAUAAUCUCUCCAAAG